ACCAAACUGUUGCCUCGGCGGGAUCUCUGCCCCGGGUGCGUCGCAGCCCCGGACCAAGGCGCCCGCCGGAGGACCAACCAAAACUCUUUUUGUAUACCCCCUCGCGGGUUUUUUAUAAUCUGAGCCUUCUCGGCGCCUCUCGUAGGCGUUUCGAAAAUGAAUCAAAACUUUCAACAACGGAUCUCUUGGUUCUGGCAUCGAUGAAGAACGCAGCGAAAUGCGAUAAGUAAUGUGAAUUGCAGAAUUCAGUGAAUCAUCGAAUCUUUGAACGCACAUUGCGCCCGCCAGUAUUCUGGCGGGCAUGCCUGUCCGAGCGUCAUUUCAACCCUCGAACCCCUCCGGGGGGUCGGCGUUGGGGAUCGGCCCUGCCUUUGGCGGUGGCCGUCUCCGAAAUACAGUGGCGGUCUCGCCGCANCCUCUCCUGCGCAGUAGUUUGCACACUCGCAUCGGGAGCGCGGCGCGUCCACAGCCGUUAAACACCCAACUUCUGAAAUGUUGACCUCGGAUCAGGUAGGAAUACCCGCUGAACUUAAGCAUAUCAAUAAGCGAA
rnacentral:rRNA from 1 species